CCUACGGGGGGCAGCAGUGGGGAAUCUUCCGCAAUGGGCGCAAGCCUGACGGAGCAACGCCGCGUGAGUGAAGAAGGUCUUCGGAUCGUAAAGCUCUGUUGACGGGGACGAACGUGCGGGGUGCGAACAGCGCUUUGUAAUGACGGUACCUGUCGAGGAAGCCACGGCUAACUACGUGCCAGCAGCCGCGGUAAUACGUAGGUGGCGAGCGUUGUCCGGAAUCAUUGGGCGUAAAGGGAGCGCAGGCGGGCCGGUAAGUCUUACUUAAAAGUGCGGGGCUCAACCCCGUGAUGGGAGAGAAACUAUCGGUCUUGAGUACAGGAGAGGAAAGCGGAAUUCCCAGUGUAGCGGUGAAAUGCGUAGAUAUUGGGAAGAACACCAGUGGCGAAGGCGGCUUUCUGGACUGCAACUGACGCUGAGGCUCGAAAGCCAGGGGAGCGAACGGGAUUAGAUACCCGAGUAGUC
rnacentral:rRNA from 1 species